CGGCGGACGGGUGAGUAACGCGUGGGUAACCUGCCUCAUACAGGGGGAUAACAGUUGGAAACGGCUGCUAAUACCGCAUAAGCGCACAGUACCGCAUGGUACGGUAUGAAAAACUCCGGUGGUAUGAGAUGGACCCGCGUCUGAUUAGGUAGUUGGUGGGGUAACGGCCUACCAAGCCGACGAUCAGUAGCCGACCUGAGAGGGUGACCGGCCACAUUGGGACUGAGACACGGCCCAA
rnacentral:rRNA from 1 species